AUUGAACGCUGGCGGCAGGCCUAACACAUGCAAGUCGAGCGGAGCGGCGGACGGGUGAGUAAUGCAUAGGAAUCUGCCUGGUCGCGAGGGAUAACGUCCGCACACGGGCGCUAAUACCGCAUACUUUCAGUUGAGCAUAGGUCGGAUUAGCUAGCUGGUGGGGUAAAGGCCUACCAAGGCGACGAUCCGUAACUGGCCUGAGAGGAUGAUCAGUCACACUGGGACUGAGACACGGUCCAGACUCCUACGGGAGGCAGCAGUGGGGAAUAUUGGACAAUGGGCGAAAGCCUGAUCCAGCCAUGCCGCGUGUGUGAAGAAGGUCUUCGGAUUGUAAAGUACUUUAAGUUGGGAGGCGUUACCAACAGAAUAAGCACCGGCUAACUUCGUGCCAGCAGCCGCGGUAAUAC
rnacentral:rRNA from 1 species